ensembl:lncRNA
AUGUUGUUAUUUCUACAUCUAGUUCUUUCUUCUUUUCUCCUGUGUCCCCCUGAUGUUCUUUCUCUCCAUUGUCCUCUCUCAGUCCACAGUGUUUCUCUUCUCCUUUUCUCUCCAUUCUCCCCUCCUGAUAAUCUUCCUCAUUGUUUUUUUGUUCCUCCUGUUCUUUGCUUAUUUCCAUGGUCCUUUGCACCGUCCCUUGUGAUAUUGUUUUUUCUCCAUCAUUUUCUUUUUCCUCUCCUCCUGUGUCUGCUUGAUGUUCUUCCUCUUCAUUCUCCCCUCCUGAUAACCUUCCUCAUUGUUUUUUUGUUCCUCCUGUUCUUUGCUUAUUUCCAUGGUCCUUUGCACCGUCCCUUGUGAUAUUGUUUUUUCUCCAUCAUUUUCUUUUUCCUCUCCUCCUGUGUCUGCUUGAUGUUCUUCCUCUUCAUUUUCCUCUCCCAGUCCACAAUCUUCCAUCUCCUUGUUUAAAACAUUGUCCAUCUCGGUUUCCCUCUGCUUUUGCCCACCCACAUUAACAACCAUAUCUGUUUCUUGUUCACUACUAUUUUCUCCCUCCCCCAUCCAACAUUCGCACCUCACCAACACUUUCCUACAUUCCGGGCACUUCACUGCAUUGCAGCUUCUUGCCAAGUGCCCCUGCUCUUUGCACUGGUAACAAAUAAAGUCCGGGCAAUCUUUAAAUACAUGUCCUGGAUCCAUACACAAUCUACAGGUUUUCACCUGCCGAUCGUGUAUAAUCUGAAAGUACUGUGUGCCCUCAGCAGUCUCAAACUUGCUGCUAUAUGGUAGAGAUACAACUUCCUUUGGGAACCUGACCUUUACAUAUCUCGUACCAUCUGCUAUUUCAGUACCCGGAUAUGUUCUUCUCUUAAUGUUGGUUGAGGGAGUUACACCCCAUGCCUCCAAUUUAUCUAAUAUAUCCUGGUCAUCAACAUAUGCAGGCAAAUGCAUAAAAGAAACAACAUAUUCUCUUACUUGUAGCUUUCUAAUCUCACAAAAUUGUUGCCUGAUUCUUAGUCCAUCCUCUAGCUUUUCACACUCCUCCUCAUUUGAUAAUGUGAUCUCGAAUUCUUUGCCUUGUCUUGGUCUUAUCGCCAAAAUCUUUCCUCCUCCAAUUUUUUCAUUCACUUCUUUGAUAAUAUCCUGCACCGAUCCAUCUCUCACCUCUGCCAGAUCCACAAUUACAGUUGCUUCCUUUGAAUAAAUAAUCAUUUUCUUUGCCUCGUUGUAUCCAAGCCGUUGUCCUGUAGUGUUUUCCGUGUCAAAGUCCCUGCGUCUUUCUCCUGCCAUUUCAUUUCCAUGUAAUCAGUCCAAUUUUGAAAAAAUAACAAAACAAAACCUCCAAAAAUAAAAAUCCUCCCCAGACAGCCUAGGCUGCUGGGAAGUGUUUGAACUUAAAACAAAACAAAACAGAAAAACAGAAAAAAAGCUAACUUUAAACAAAAAAUGGGUUUACAAACAACAAUGGUGAGCCUACUCUCACCCACUACUGCCACCUCACUUCCUGCUAGCACUCUAGCGUUGCCAGGUUGGUAUGGCCGUAAGCGAAGACUGCUGCAAAGAGAAUGCUAUUUAAAGAUCAGCCAAUCUACUCGCCAGUACAUUAUAUAAGUAGGAAAGAAAACCCAAA